CUAUACUACUUAUGGCCACCUGGGGGCGGUGUGCGCUGCCUUCGCUUCCUGCCCUCGCGAAGGGCCAACCCGCCGGAAGCCCCGGUUUGCCGGGGCUUGAAGCCGGCCGGGUUCCCGACCUGGGGACGCUCCACCCCUACCUCUGGUCAUCUCUACAACCCUGGGUGGCCCCCUGGUCUGGCCCCUGCUACCGUGAGACAGUGCCAGACUGCAGGCUGCUCUUCUGGAACAUCAACCCCUGUGGCGGCAAGAAGGAAGCAGAGAACUCUUUGGGUAAUCCCCUAAAAUGACUCAAAGCAUUCUUAAGUACUUGGACCAUUUGCUAACAGCAACCCUCUCCCAUCCUAACUCUCUCCCAUAGAAGUGAACAUUAAUUACUAACUCAAGUGAACAUUAACCCUGCACCUGCUAGGCCCAAUCAAGCAAAAAGCAGGUCUUCCAGAAGCAGGAAAGCUGUUUUCAGAGGUGCUCAGAAAUCUCAUGCCAGAGGUGGUUCUCCCACAGAACAAAAAUCCAGUAGAGAAGCAAGGCCAUAAACUCAUCUGCUGCAGCGGAGCCUCUGCCCUCCAGCCUCUCUGCUGACCUGUCAUGCUGACUUUGCUUCUCUAGUGAUUCAUGCCUUCAAGGGUGAUGUGGGCUGGGGCAGCAGCGAUGCAAAGACAGCCUCAGCCAGGGAAGAGUGGGGAGGCCACAAGACCAAAGCCACUGGACUGUGUUUUGUUUUGGGGUGGGGUUUGGUUUUUGGUUUUUUGGGGUUUUUUUGGUUUUUAAGUGACAUUCAAAAACAACUUUUGCAAAAGUAAAGUUCCUUGUUGAAACGAGCAAGAAAGAAAAGUACUGAUAAGAAAAUGAAAUCACCUUGAAUUUUUGCACCCAGUUAAGCUUUGUUAAAUUUGUUAAGCUGUGGUAAAGGAAGAUGGUUUUGUCAUUUUAAAUUUGAAAUGCGAUGUAAUGCAUGCUCAUUGUAAAUUUGUUUCAAAUGUCAAUCACAUGUAUAAAGUUAAAAGGAAAUUCUCUUCCUCACCUCUGCCCUCCUUCACAACCACAUCCCACAUGUCAGAAGUACUAGGUUAACUGUGUGAUGGGCUUCAUUUUUUAUGUCCAGUAGGCCUGGGACCUUCUGAGCCAGAGGACUUUAAUGCUUCUGCUUAAAAGCAUCCCACUGUGGUUCCCAAGGACUGAGGGAGUGUGGAGGAUGAACAGGCCAGACACAGCAGAUUUUUAGGGCCAUGAAACUACUAUGAUGCUAUAAUGGUGGAUACAUGUUAUACAUUUGUACAAACCCAUAGAAUGUACAGCACCAAGAGUGAACCCUGAUAUAAAGUAUGACUUUUGGUGAUAACUGUGUCAGUGUCAGGUCAUCAGUUAUUUAACAAAUGUUCCUCUCUGGUGGGGCGUUCAUAAAGGGGGAGGCUAGGGGGCCAGGAGCAUAUAGGAACUCUCUCUACCUUCUGCUCAAUUUUUCUGUGACCCUAAAACUGCUCUACAACCCUUGUGGAUGUGGCUUCCUGUGGACAGGGACUCUGAGCAGUUAACACUUCAGACACAUUUCCCUCCUAUGGCUUGUGUGGUUCUCCAGCCCUCUCUGAGCCUAUGGGAGGAUUGCACCCACCUCCUAGAAUUGGGAUCAGCCUUUACCCAUGAGAGGUCAAGUACAUGUAAGAGCUGGAAUACUAUUCCCAGUGGUCUUCUGCUGCCAUACCCUGAAGCAUGGUGAGAUGGCAACUCCGUAAGUACUUCUUCUGGGGUAAAACUUUAUUGUGAUAUAAUUCACAUACCAUACAAUAUGCCUAUUUAAAGUGUUUAAUUCAGUUUUCUUUUUAGAAUAUUCAGAGUUGUGCAACCAUCAGCAUGAUCAAUUUUAGAACAUUUUCAUCACCCCAAAAAAGAAGCCCUAUACCCAUGAGUAGUCACUCCCCUAUCCCCAAACUCAUACCCAGCUCCAGGCAACCACUAGUCUAACUUCUGUCUCUCUGGAUUUCUCUAUUCUGGACCUUUCAUAUUAAUGGAAUUAUAUAAUAUGUCGCCUUUUGUGUUUAGCGCAAUGUUUUUAAGGUUCAUUCAUGUUGUAACAUGUAUCAGUGCUUCAUUCAUAUUUAUUGCCAAAUAAUAUUCCAUUAUAUGGAUAGACCACAUUUUAAUUAUCCAUUCAUCAAUUGAUGGACAUUUGAGUUCUUUUUAUCUUUGGUCAUUAUGAUUAAUGCUGCUAUAAACUUCUGUGUAUAA